rnacentral:rRNA from 1 species
GAUGAACGCUAGCGGCAGGCCUAAUACAUGCCAGUCGGACGGGAUCCAUUGAUAGCUUGCUAUCAAUGGUGAGAGUGGCGCACGGGUGCGUAACGCCUGAGCAACCUGCCUCCAUCAGGGGGAUAGCCUCUCGAAAGAGAGAUUAACACCGCAUAAUAUCAACAGUUCGCAUGUUCAGUUGAUUAAAUAUUUAUAGGAUGGAGAUGGGCUCGCGUGACAUUAGCUAGUUGGUAGGGUAACGGCUUACCAAGGCGACGAUGUCUAGGGGCUCUGAGAGGAGAAUCCCCCACACUGGUACUGAGACACGGACCAGACUCCUACGGGAGGCAGCAGUAAGGAAUAUUGGUCAAUGGGCGGAAGCCUGAACCAGCCAUGCCGCGUGCAGGAUGACUGCCCUAUGGGUUGUAAACUGCUUUUGUCCAGGAAUAAACCUAAAUACGAGUAUUUAGCUGAAUGUACUGGAAGAAUAAGGAUCGGCUAACUCCGUG